GCAAGUCAUAUCUUUUGUUAAAAUGCAUGCAUGAAAUAAACAUGUUGGAUGACUAGUGAAGUUAGGCUAGUCAACCUUCUUUGUGUAAAUUAGGCAAGUUAGGAAAUUAGGCAAGUUUGGCAAGUUAGGCAAGUUAGACUUAUGUUCUCUUUCUUUUCCUAUAUAAUGUUUCAUCUUGUAAUUGUUUUGAUAUGAAAUACACAUCAAAAAUUCAACAUGGUAUCAGAGCAGGAACUCGAAAUUCCUGGCUCUGUUGAUCAUUUCCGCUAAGUUUCUUUUACUCUAAGCCAAGAUGGCUGGAGAACUUUUACUCUAAGCCAAGAUGGCUGGAGAACAUUUACUCUAAGCCAAGAUGGCUAGAGAACAUUUACUCUAAGCCAAGAUGGCUGGAGAACAUUUACUCAUUUACUCUAAGCCAAGAUGGCUAGAGAACAUUUACUCUAAGCCAAGAUGGCUGGAGAACAUUUACUCUAAGCCAAGAUGGCUGGAGAACAUUAUGAAGCUGAGAGCUCGAUGGAUGCUUUAGCUCUACCUAACGUUGUUCAAGUUUGCGGCACGAAGCCAUUUCAAGUUUGUUUGUUUGCGGCACGAAGCCAUUACUGUUUGUUUGCGGCACGAAGCCAUUUCAAGUGGGAAUUUGGUAACAUGGCGCAGCAAGAAGCAAAGCGUUAUUUUUACUAAACCUCUUCCUACGGUUCAGUUCAUGCGCAUUCUGUCCAAGCUUGGCUCAAGGAAUCCCCUCAAUCCAGCUUGAGGGGGAGUGUUGGAAUGCAUGCAAGUCAUAUCUUUUGUUAAAAUGCAUGCAUGAAAUAAACAUGUUGGAUGACUAGUGAAGUUAGGCUAGUCAACCUUCUUUGUGUAAAUUAGGCAAGUUAGGAAAUUAGGCAAGUUAGGCAAGUUAGGAAAUUAGGCAAGUUAGGCAAGUUAGACUUAUGUUCUCUUUCUUUUCCUAUAUAAUGUA
rnacentral:lncRNA from 1 species